AAAAACGGCUAGGGGUGUUUUUAGCAACCGACUAACAGGCUAAAAACUGAGAAAGACCCUUUGAACCUGAACUGGUUAGUACCAGCGGAGGGAUGCGCGUUUAACCGCAG
rnacentral:ncRNA from 2 species